GGAGCACUGCAGAAGCUUGAAUGAAUGCACGUUUCAGCAUCCAUGUACCACUAAUGUUCCAGCCUGUAGUUGUCUUGUAUACACAGAACUGUCCAUUUUUUAUAGCUCUAGUAAUAGUGACCUAUAUGAAAGCACCAAAUUUCAUACAACCAGCCUGUGCAGUAGAGGAACUUUAUUCUUUCAUUGAGGAUUGCCGGGUCUUGGCUUCUGUCCUGAAGACGCGUCAUUCACCAGAGAAGUUUGCUGUUUCUGUUUGUUCUUGGUGUCUGCCCACAUAUGUAAAGCCUCGCAUAGGCCUGAGGGAGAGCCACGAGCUCAGAAUGCUGAUGAGAUUCUACAUUUAUCUCCCUGAUGAAGAGCUUGUUUCUCUAGUCUCCUCCUUUCACACAGUACUGCCAUUUCCGUCCUCCUGUACUGCUUGUGCUCAGCCAAGGUACUGGUGAAGAAGCUGACCUGCUGCUGCUAGCUGGACAGAGGGAUAACCCUGCUGCCUGGAUUCAAACAGCGAGUCCAAAGGAAACUGUCUAUCUCUUAUCCUUAUGGGGAGCAGGAAGGGUUUAAUCAUGGAACUCAGCCUUUACUCCCUAUUCUCAUGGACAACCCCUUUUCUGUCCAACAGAAUACAGAGAAGUACUCAAUGCAAGCAGAUUUCUAGCCUAUAAAUGGAAAAUUAAUGAGAACUGUUCAAAUUGCCUUACUGAAACUAACUAAAAAAUGAAAAUAUCUACAAUGCAAGAACCGUAGACUGGUGCUGUACAAAUAUGGUUAUGAAACAAGUCAGGCUAUUCAGGCUCACCCAGCCUCUACUAAUAGACAAGACUGAAAGCGCCAACACAUCAGCUCCAGAGAAAAAGGGCCCAGAGAGGAUCUGACAAGGGCUGGAAGCUGAAGUUUAAGAAAUAAACCUCUAUUUAGA